CAUUUAUUGAGACACACUUGGGGCCAGGUACCCUGGGAAGCGCUUUAUAGGACCAUCCCGUUGAAUCUUCGCAGCAAUGCUGUGCAGUGGGAACAGACUUCCUCAUUUUACAGAUAAGGACACUGAGGCUCAGACAGUGGAACAGCCUGCUUAGCGCACAUUGUGAGUAGCAGAGAUGGAAUUGAAUCCGAAUCCAACUCUAGAGCCUUCACUCUCUGCCUUGUUGCUAUCUCCCCAGCCCCUGUCAUGACUUUCUGGUCCCUCUCCCACAUCUGUCCCUUGACUUCCUGGUGCGUUUCCCAGACACUAGUCAACCUGGGCGACUUGCUGGUGGAGUAAAGGCGAUCGAUCACAAGUUCUUUGCUGUUCCUCCCGUUAUGGCUUUCCUUCCUUGUGUAUCUGGGCUGGACGGAGGGCCUUGUUCAACAGAACACGAUGGAAAGGACAUUCCUGGACUUUGAGCCUGGCUCAUCAAAAGCCUGGCAGCUUCCACCGGGGCCUCUUGAACACUCUCUCUGGGAACCCUGAGUUGCUGCUCAAGUCCAACCACCUUGAGCCCAUCCUGCUGGAGACCCCAUGUAGAGCCUCUGCAGUCUAGCUGAGCCCAGCCUUUCUACCACUCCCACCAAGAAACCAAACACACCAGGGAAGCCGUGUUGGACCCUCCGGACCAGAGCAGCCGCCAACUGAAUUUGUGACUUGGGCCGUGCCAUGUGGAACCGAAGAAUUACCCAGCUGACCCCAACCCAAACUCCUGACCUACAGAGUUGUGGCUCCACGCUGAGCCCCGGCGAACAUCACAGAUUAGCAUCCCAGGCUCUCUCGUGGGUGAGCCUCCUGCUGUCAGGCGGGAGGUCCUGUCCUGCCCGUGCCAGCUGGGGAAGGAGACUUAGAAGUCCGCCGUCUGCCAGACAGAUAACCACCAGCCUUUCUGUUUUCAGUCCUGCCCUACACCUCGGUCUUUGGAGGUUCUUGGUCUCUCUCAUCCCUGAGCCUUUGAUCUCCAGUUGUCUUGUGUCCUGAUGGCUCCCCUGAACAGUCAGGGUUCAACUUUCUGGGUUUCUCAAGUCAGCCUAGCAUCUGUUUUCCAGCUUCUAGAGUUUGGUUGACUGUUCUCAUCUGCUGUGAGCUCCUCACAUGGUCUCUUUGUCCCAGUGGAGAGGUGUGCAUUUUUAAAAACGCUUUUAUGUCAUUUUAUUAGAAUUUCAAAAACAAUGGAGGCGAAUAAAUGUGUUCAGUCUGCCGUGUUUAA